rnacentral:rRNA from 1 species
GACGAACCGUGCGAACGUUGUUCGGAUUCACUGGGCUUAAAGGGCGCGUAGGCGGGCCGUCAAGUCGGGGGUGAAAUCUUUCAGCUCAACUGGAAAAGAGCCUUCGAUACUGACGGCCUCGAGGGAGGUAGGGGCAGAUGGAAUUCCGGGUGUAGCGGUGGAAUGCGUAGAGAUCCGGAAGAACACCGGUGGCGAAGGCGGUCUGCUGGGCAGUUGCUGACACUGAGGCGCGACAGCGUGGGGAGCAAACAGG